GGGGUGGGGGGCCUGGAUUUUUGUGCUGGGUGCUAAGUAUAAAGUGCUAGGUACAACUAAUACAGCCUUUGCCCUCAGGGAUCUUACUAUCUUUUCUGUCCGUCCACCUAUCUAAGCCCCGCCAGUCUACUAUUAUGAAGAAAUUAACCCCACACUGCCAUGCAGAUUUAUACUGGCUCAAGAUAGAGCAGAGAUUGUUGAGCCUUAAAUAUUUCAAGUUAUUUUGUGUCUGUCUGUAUGUAUACAUACACAUUGUAUUAGUUUUCUAGGACUGCCAUAGCAAAGUAAUACAAACUGAGUGGUAAUCAGAAAUUUGUCUCACAGUUCUAAAGGCUAGAUGUUCAAGGUCAAGGUGUCAGUAGGACCAUGCUUCAUCUCAAGGUGCUAAUAAAGGACCUGUUUCAGGCUUUUCUCCUAGCUUUUGUGGGUUCCUAGGCUAUGGCAGCAUAUAUAUACUUUACAUAUAUAUACUUUUUCCUUCUUUUUCAGGUUAACAUUUAUUGCACACUCAUUGUAGGCAACUGGUAAGUUCUCAAAACACAUAGCCUAGCAACACACAGCUUCCCUUGCAAGGGCUUCAGAGAUAUACCUACUGUAUUUUAUGGAAACAUGUAGGAGAGAACAGUAAUUUGGGUGAGAAAAAGAGGACACUGGAAGGCUGGGGAUAGGUAUUUCAGUGUAAACAAAGGUUCUGAGGUGUGAAAAUAUGGUCUGCCUGAAAAUCUCUUAUUUCGCCUAGCCCUUAGUCACACCUUCAGCCAUAUUUUUACACUUUUCUACUUUGCCUUUUUACGCUUACAGCUCUUUCAACUCCUUUGCCUCUAAUUCACCCAUCUUUCUACUCACUACAACUUAACACUUCUGGGAAGUAUUUUAGAAAAUACUUUAAAAGCUUUGAAAUGUCAACUGGUCCAAUAGUUUUACCCAUAGGAAUUUAUAUGAGGGAAGCAGGAAUUCUUUCAAAACCUUAAGUUACUUAAGUCUCAUUUACAUUAGCAUAAAAAUUUUAAAUUAAAUGCUUAACGACAGGGAACUACUGGAGAUAAAUUAAAACACAUUAAUUAGAAGAAAUUAUCAAACACUUAAAAUUUGUUUUGCAAGGACUAUUUAAUAAUAAGGUAGAUAACAUAUGCUUAUAUAACAUGUAUUUUUAUAUCACUAAAGCAAAAUGUCCUAUUUAUUGAGUAAGUAUGGCCUGCUGUAUGUGUGUACACUGCAGUGCAAUUUAAAAAAUACUAUAAUUAUCAUUUCAGAACUUCAAAAUUUGAAUAGGCGCCAAUGUUCUCUCCUUUUUAUAUAUGGUAAAAGGAAAGAAAAUCCUUUGAAAAUCAUUUGACGCAUGGACAAAAAUUCCAUAGCUAUAUUCCUAGGAUCACUCUGUACAGUCUUCAUGAUUCAGAUGAUACAAAGGGAGCUUCAAUUCAGCCUUGCGGAGAAGACGUCCUUGCUCUGAUCUCCUCAAUCAGGAGAAUGCUGGUGGCGAUCUCAGUGCAGAAGUGAAGAAGCUGUUUCUUUACACAGCAGUUAUCCCAGAUGCCUAUUUCUGCUGCUACCACUGGCUCAUCUCCUGUGUUAAAGUCCAUGCCCACUAGUUGACAUGAUUCUGAAUGUUCUCCUUGAACUUUAACUAGUGUUUCCUGAAGAUCAACACCAGAGUUCUGGGCAAGAACAUUAGGAAUAAUGAGUAACACAUAAGCAAGAACUUGAACUGCAGGUUGGGCCCUGCCCUUUACACUGAGCUUGUAUUUAAUCAGGGCUCUGGCCAUUGCCGCUUCCACUGUACCAGCACGUGGAACUACAGAGCCAUCAUCAGUGACAUUUUUAACAGCCCUCAAGACAUAUCUUAUUGCAUCUUUGAUUUGUGUGAGGAUGUGCUUAUUUGGUCCUUUGAUCAAUAAUGUGACAGAGACAGGACUGUUACAUUUCUCAGUAAAGGUGAACUUCUCUUUUCCCCAUGUUCCAAACAUUCAGGCUUUAGGUCAUCAAGAGAACUUAGGGCUACCCUACCACAAACAAGAGUCAGCCUUUCCACAGUUCUCCUUUUAGCUCUGCAUGGAGCUACUACAUCUUCUUUUGUGAGAGCAUCUAAGGAAAGGGGGUCAAUUCCCUUCUGAUUAAUAAAAACAAAUCCUUUAUCUGAAUUACCACAGACUUUUGUUUUCAGUUCUAGUAUUUUGUGAACUCUAUCUUCCAUGAAUUUUCUUUCUUUAAUGUGCAUUUCACAUUUUUCAAAUAUUUUUUACCAUUUAUUUAUUGCCUUUGGGGGGGCACACCCAUAGCAUAUGGAAGUUCCCAGGCUAGGGGUCAAAUCAGAGCUGCAGCUGCUGGUCUAUGCUAUAGCCACAGCAAUGCAGGAUCUGAGUUGCAUCUAUGACCUACACCACAGCUCACAUGCAGGAUCCUUGACCCACUGAGCAAGGCCAGGGAUCAAACGCACAUUCUCAUGGAUGCUAGUUGGGUUCAUUUCCACUGCGCCAAAUACAACAGGAACUCCCUAUGUAUUUAUUUUUAUUAAAGUGUAGUUGAUUUACAGUGGUUUGCUAAUUUCUGCUGUACAGCCUAAGGACCCAAUUUUCUUUUUUUUUUUUUUUUUUUUUUUUGGUCUUUUUUUUUGCUAUUUCGUGGGCCGCUCUCGCGGCAUAUGGAGGUUCCCAGGCUAGGGGUCAAAUCGGAGCUAUAGCUGCCAGCCUACGCCAGAGCCACAGCAACGUGGGAUCCGAGCCGCGUCUGCGACCUACACCACAGCUCACGGCAACGCUGGAUCCUUAACCCACUGAGCAAGGCCAGGGAUCGAACCCGCAACCUCAUGGUUCCUAGUCGGAUUCAUUAACCACUGCGCCACGACGGGAACUCCAGGACCCAAUUUUCAAUGAAUUUUCUCUCUGCUUUCCCCAGUUUCUCUCUCUCUUCUGAACUCCUAUAAAAAAAAAAAAAAAAGAGAGAGAGAGAGAGAGAAGCCAGAGUUCACUUUUGCUUUUUCAUAUGCUAAUGACAUGUGUAUGUGAGGGUGUAUGCAUCUUCCACUCCCUUUUUCACAUCAGGAUGCCAUGCCCCAUGAUCCAAAACAAGACCUAUGAUUAAACAUGUAUUGGUAUCAGAUUUAUGUUUUAUCUCCCUGAUCUCAACCAUGAAGAGGUCAAUACGUUCUUGUUUUUUAAUGGCCAAAAAGGUAUCUGUUACAGCCUCUAGGACAUCAGCAAGUUCAUCAUGAACUUUACUGUGGAGAGAUGUUCCAGCCACAUCUGUAAGUGUUUCCCUGUUCACCUCUUUGCUUACUUUGACUUGUUCCAAAAACCGAAGUGUCUUUUCCUUGGCAGUUUCACAUCCUUCUGUUAUUAUUCUUGGAUGAAGACCUUCGGAAAUUCAGGGAUCUGCCUAUUUCAGGAGCUCUCCAAUGAUUAGGACAUUAGAAGUAGUACCAUCAACAGUUAUAUCAUCCCGAGCUGUUGCUAUUUUGGCUAUUGAGGAGGCUUGUCGGUGUUGAAUUUGCCUUUCAGGAAGCAGCACACUCCCAUCUUUAGUAAGCUUGAGGUCUCUUAUACGAGAAACAAGCAUCUUCAUGGUACUCUUAGGCUCCAAGUUGGUCCUUGGCACAUCUUGCAACCCCAGGGCCAUGCUGAUGUUGACUUCCAGCACUGCCUGGACUCUAGCUACCUCAGACUUGGGUCAGGGUCUUCACAGCCACCAUGAAGCUGACCCAGCAGAGAAAGGUAGGGGGAACUUGUCAUGUGGAAAUCCCAGAGCGGAUUCAGCUUUUCCUUCUUUACAGGUCCAAGUAUCCCUAUUUUAUAAGGAUACCAGUCAUAAUUAAUUAGGGGUCUACUCUACUUUACUAUCAGCUUGUCCUAACAGUAUCUGCAACAACCUUUUGUGCAAAUAAGGUCACAUUCUAAGGUACUUGGAAUUAGGACUUUACCAUGUGAGUUUGCAGGGACACAAUUCAACCCAUAAGAAACACAUACUGUGCAUGUGUAUGCAUGUGUAUACACACAGUUGACUUCAAUAGCAUCUCUAAGGAAUGAAAAGGGCAAUUUAGUUUGGACCCUAUGCUCCAGACAAGCCCACUGAGGCUCAGAGAAGUUAAGGGAUUAGAAGAACCUAGGUCUCUAGACUCAGGUGAGCACCUUUCUAUUCCUUGGAACAGCAUGUCUCUUCUGAUGCCACCACUUCUGCUAUUGCACCCAGCUAAUGGGUUCUGACUUUGGCCAACACAAGUGUCAAGCUGCUGAACAGUCCCUAAAGCAUUUCUCAGACUGUGCUGACAGCAUCCUGGCAGCAGAGUGGGCACUGGGAUAAAAGUCUCUUCCAACACACAGCAUUCCUUGUGGGCUGCCUGAUGUGCCUGCCUUCUUACACAGCUAAGAGCCAUUGGCAACUGUGGGUGCAUAAAACCAGGAAGUCAAAUACAUAGGAACUGCAGGACAACAUGUUCUCUGCCAAAGGGGCUAGGUGUCUAUCAAUCCAAGCCCAUUGAAAGCUUACUAGUCAUCACAUACUACUAUGUGUUCAAAGUUAUCACCAACCCACUAUCUAAUUUACUGAGGCAGCAUCUAUAAAUCUGUUAGGAGAACACCACAAAAUCUUCCUCUCCUCUAUUCCUAAACCCAAAUCCUCGUCUUUAAAUCAAUGCCUGAACAGAAGAACAAGACUACUGUUGUCUUAAAAGACCUGAGGUAGGAGGGUGUUAAUUAGCUUGGCAAAAUCUCAAAUUAACACACUCACAUAAAUGUCGCCUCUCAGAGAUGGAUCAUAGCCACGUGGACAACCAGACAAAUCAUCUGAGUAGAAACAGAAAAGGGGGUUUUCUGAGAAAGAGUCCUUAGAGGCUUCAGUAAAGACGCCCUGGAAAGGGAGUCAGGAGGCAGAUGCCUGCCGCUACCUCAGCACUAGCUAUGGAGCCUCUGCUGAGUGGCUUCCCUUUCCUGAGCCUUGCCUCUCCCAGCUGUAAAUGCAAGUGUUACAUUGAGAGAUCGCCAAUGUCCUUCCAAUUCUAACAUUUUAUCUGGGACAAAAACCAGGUAAAUAAACUAUCCAUGUGCUCUUUAAAUGAACAACAGAUUCCAAAGAGGUGUGUAGCUUUCAUGCCGCUAAAAAGCCUGUAAACACCUCUUCCCACAGAGUUCCCCCAGGCAUCACGGAGAUAGAAAAUUCUGAGGCACUAAGCAGCACUGACCCUGCUCCUUCUGAGGACACAUAAGUCAGUAGUCCCCAAGCACCCAGGGUGGCUCAAAUGGCAUUUGGACAUGGAUUCAAUGCAGGUUAUAGGAGCACGGGGUCUUCCCAAAGAGGACAGGAAACUAGCAUAAUGGAGUUCCCAUCGCAGCUCAGCAGAAAUGAAUCUGACUAGGAUUCAUGAGGAUGCAGGUUUGAUCCUUGGCCUUGCUCAGUGGGUUAAGGAUCCAGCGUUACCAUGAGCUGUGGUGUAGGUUGAAGAUGCAGCUUGGAUCUGGCAUUCCUGUGGAUGUGGUGUAGGCUGGCAACUACAGCUCUGAUUUGACCCCUAGCCUGGGAACAUCCAUAUGCCAUGGGUGCAGCCCUAAAAAAAGCAAAAAAAAAAAAAAAAAAGGAAAAGAAAGAAAAAGAAAGAUAAAAGAAAGUGGCAUGAAGAGAGUAUCAGAGCAGACAAAGUGAGUCAAAGAUCAACGCUCACAGCUAAAAAGCCACACCAGAUCCUCACCUUCAGUGACUAUUCAAAGAACUGAAACCCCAGGAAGACAGAGAUCAUAAUUAAUGAUAGAUAUAUACCUGGGAAGUUGCAGACUGGCAACCACUGGACCAAAUUUGGGUAAGAGACCUGUUCUAUUUAGCCUGCACAAUGUUUUCCAGAAAACUACUUUCCAACAUUUAAAAAAAUGGGAGUCUUUUUUAAAGACUUUUAGCUUCUCUUGAAAAAAAAAUUAGGAUGUUUGGUAACACUGGGCUUUAUUUCCAUUUGGCUGCAAUCUCCUGGGGCUGAAAAAUACCUGCCCAUGUCAGAUGGGGUGUGGCUUCCCAAUGUGUCAUAGGCCAGUUAUCAGCUUUGCUAAUUUAUGGUAGCUUUCUAGGCUCAUCCAGAAAUAAAAUGAAUGAAGCCCAGGACAUCCAAUGCUGUUUGUCUCUGAAAACUUUUCAGUUUUCUAAAUGAUUACCAAGGACCAAAUGGCAGCAUCAUCUAAAUCAUAAAUUUGAU
rnacentral:lncRNA from 1 species